rnacentral:rRNA from 1 species
AUUGAACGCUGGCGGAAUGCUUUACACAUGCAAGUCGAGCGGCAGCGCGGGGGCAACCCUGGCGGCGAGCGGCGAACGGGUGAGUAAUAUAUCGGAACGUGCCCAGUCGUGGGGGAUAACGCAGCGAAAGUUGUGCUAAUACCGCAUACGAUCUAUGGAUGAAAGCGGGGGAUCGCAAGACCUCGCGCGAUUGGAGCGGCCGAUAUCAGAUUAGGUUGUUGGUGAGGUUAAAAGCUCACCAAGCCUGCGAUCUGUAGCUGGUCUGAGAGGACGACCAGCCACACUGGAACUGAGACACGGUCCAGACUCCUACGGGAGGCAGCAGUGGGGAAUUUUGGACAAUGGGCGAAAGCCUGAUCCAGCCAAUGCCGCGUGAGUGAAGAA